GACAGAGGUGCCAAGCGUUAGGCGGAAUCACUGGGCUUAAAGCGUGUGUAGGCGGAUUGGUAAGUACCUUGUGAAAUCCCACGGCUCAACCGUGGAACUGCUUGGUAUACUGCUUAUCUUGAGCCACUUAGGGGCUACCGGAACAAAUGGUGGAGCGGUGAAAUGCGUAGAUAUGCGGAGGAACACCGAUGGCGAAGGCAAUCCCCUGGGCCUGCACUGACGCUCAUGCACGAAAGCGUGGGGAGCAAACAGG
rnacentral:rRNA from 1 species